rfam:Kwoniella mangroviensis CBS 10435 unplaced genomic scaffold supercont2.9, whole genome shotgun sequence.
UGCCCUGUGGCCAAGCUGGUUAAGGCACCCGACUGUUACACAUCAACCCAAAAAGGGCCUGGUAUCUGCAAUCGGGAGAUCCACGGUUCGAUCCCGUGCGGGGCAG